AGAGUUUGAUCCUGGCUCAGGAUGAACGCUAGCGACAGGCUUAACACAUGCAAGUCGAGGGGCAGCACAGGUAGCAAUACCGGGUGGCGACCGGCGCACGGGUGAGUAACGCGUAUGCAACUUGCCUAUCAGAGGGGGAUAACCCGGCGAAAGUCGGACUAAUACCGCAUGAAGCAGGGGCCCCGCAUGGGGAUAUUUGCUAAAGAUUCAUCGCUGAUAGAUAGGCAUGCGUUCCAUUAGGCAGUUGGCGGGGUAACGGCCCACCAAACCGACGAUGGAUAGGGGUUCUGAGAGGAAGGUCCCCCACAUUGGUACUGAGACACGGACCAAACUCCUACGGGAGGCAGCAGUGAGGAAUAUUGGUCAAUGGCCGAGAGGCUGAACCAGCCAAGUCGCGUGAGGGAUGAAGGUUCUAUGGAUCGUAAACCUCUUUUAUAAGGGAAUAAAGUGCGGGACGUGUCCCGUUUUGUAUGUACCUUAUGAAUAAGGAUCGGCUAACUCCGUGCCAGCAGCCGCGGUAAUACGGAGGAUCCGAGCGUUAUCCGGAUUUAUUGGGUUUAAAGGGUGCGUAGGCGGCCUUUUAAGUCAGCGGUGAAAGUCUGUGGCUCAACCAUAGAAUUGCCGUUGAAACUGGGGGGCUUGAGUAUGUUUGAGGCAGGCGGAAUGCGUGGUGUAGCGGUGAAAUGCAUAGAUAUCACGCAGAACCCCGAUUGCGAAGGCAGCCUGCCAAGCCAUUACUGACGCUGAUGCACGAAAGCGUGGGGAUCAAACAGGAUUAGAUACCCUGGUAGUCCACGCAGUAAACGAUGAUCACUAGCUGUUUGCGAUACACUGUAAGCGGCACAGCGAAAGCGUUAAGUGAUCCACCUGGGGAGUACGCCGGCAACGGUGAAACUCAAAGGAAUUGACGGGGGCCCGCACAAGCGGAGGAACAUGUGGUUUAAUUCGAUGAUACGCGAGGAACCUUACCCGGGCUUAAAUUGCAACUGACGGAACCGGAAACGGUUCUUUCUUCGGACAGUUGUGAAGGUGCUGCAUGGUUGUCGUCAGCUCGUGCCGUGAGGUGUCGGCUUAAGU
rnacentral:rRNA from 1 species